UACGGAGGUGGCUAGCGUUGUUCGGAAUUACUGGGCGUAAAGGGCGCGUAGGCGGCAUGGCAAGUCAGAUGUGAAAGCCCCGGGCUUAACUCGGGAACUGCAUCUGAAACUGCUUUGCUUGAGUCCUGGAGGGGGUAGUGGAAUUCCCAGUGUAGCGGUGAAAUGCGUAGAUAUUGGGAGGAACACCUGCGGCGAAGGCGGCUACCUGGACAGUGACUGACGCUGAGGCGCGAAAGCUAGGGGAGCGAACGGG
rnacentral:rRNA from 1 species